rnacentral:lncRNA from 1 species
CGCGUAAACAGAAAUUAUAAAAGACGAUCACAAAUUAGACAAAUUAUAGAAACAGUAAAAUAAAAUAAAACACAAGAAUUUAUGUGGAAAAACUGUCUAUGGGAAAAAAAAUCAUAAGUAAAGGAUGAAAGAAUUUUACUAUGAAAAAUGAAGUACAAUAUUUUAAAGAUUAUUACAAAUUCGCUGUAUUAUCUAUAGAACAAAAGUACGGAAAAAGAUUCUUAACGGAUAUCUUUAUUAUCGGACUCGAUCCGUCCCGCGGGAGGCAGAGCCCUCCGCAUCUCUGUCGCAUGUCAGUGGUGGACAAUAGGCUCGGACCUAUAGCCCUCCGCUUCCCACCACAAAUAUCCACCUUUUCCUUUACAAUUUAUUUUCUAAAAUUUGUCACACCACGAACCUGUCGGCAAAUAAAGAGCACAAAAUCGAAACAAUAAUCAAAUUUCGAGACACAUCUAAUAAAUACAAUUAUUAAAUAUUCGCAUAUAUACAUAUUCCAGGAUGCAU